GGAUUUUGUUAGGAUUUUAUUUAGGAUUUAGGAUUUGAUUAGGAUUUGGUUUAGGAUUUAGGAUUUGGAUUAGGGUUUAGUUUAGGAUUUGAUUAGGGUUUUAUUUAGGAUUUAGGAUUUGGUUAGGAUUCGAUUUAGGAUUUAGGAUUUAGUUAGGAUUUGAUUUAGGAUUUAGGAUUUGGAUUAAGAUUUGGUUAGGGUUUGAUUUAUGAUUUAGGAUUUGAUUUAGGAUUUGAUUGGAGUUUGGUUUAAGGUUUAUUUAGGAUUUGAUUUAGGAUUUAGAAUUUUAUUAAGAUUUAAGAUUCAAUUAGUUUUUUUCCUAAAGUUUGAAUGAAGGUCAAUAGGAUUUUAACUAGAAUUAAAUUAAGAUUGAAUUGAGAUGUAUUUAAGUGAUAUUUGUGAU
rnacentral:lncRNA from 1 species